AUUGAACGCUGGCGGCAGGCCUAACACAUGCAAGUCGAGCGGAUGAAGGGAGCUUGCUCCUGGAUUCAGCGGCGGACGGGUGAGUAAUGCCUAGGAAUCUGCCUGGUAGUGGGGGAUAACGUCCGGAAACGGGCGCUAAUACCGCAUACGUCCUGAGGGAGAAAGUGGGGGAUCUUCGGACCUCACGCUAUCAGAUGAGCCUAGGUCGGAUUAGGUAGUUGGUGGGGUAAAGGCCUACCAAGGCGACGAUCCGUAACUGGUCUGAGAGGAUGGUCAGUCACACUGGAACUGAGACACGGUCCAGACUCCUACGGGAGGCAGCAGUGGGGAAUAUUGGACAAUGGGCGAAAGCCUGAUCCAGCCAUGCCGCGUGUGUGAAGAAGGUCUUCGGAUUGUAAAGCACUUUAAGUUGGGAGGAAGGGCAGUAAGUUAAUACCUUGCUGUUUUGACGUUACCAACAGAAUAAGCACCGGCUAACUUCGUG
rnacentral:rRNA from 1 species